rnacentral:rRNA from 1 species
CAGUCGCCGCGGUAAUACGUAGGGUGCGAGCGUUAAUCGGAAUUACUGGGCGUAAAGCGUGCGCAGGCGGUUAUAUAAGACGGAUGUGAAAUCCCCGGGCUCAACCUGGGACCUGCAUUUGUGACUGUAUAGCUAGAGUACAGUAGAGGGGGAUGGAAUUCCGCGUGUAGCAGUGAAAUGCGUAGAUAUGCGGAGGAACACCGAUGGCGAAGGCAAUCCCCUGGACCUGUACUGACGCUCAUGCACGAAAGCGUGGGGAGCAAACAGGAUUAGAUACCCGUGUAGUCCCUGUCUCUUAUAC